UUCACUUUUUUUACAACCAUAAAGCAUAGGCCUUGUGUUAAACAAUACAACUGGGUGACGAAGCCGUUGAGGAACACUUCGACUAUAGCUGCACCUCGGGGACAGUACCGUUACAACAUUAAGGAACUGACACAAGGCCGGUGAAGACCAUGGGGCAGAUGGAAUACUGGAAUGGCAUUUACAGAUAGAUAGUGGGGGAAUUUCGACCACAACAAUCUGAUCAAGAACUCAGGCUGAGGUUACAGUGCUUACACACACUU